rnacentral:lncRNA from 1 species
UUGUUGUGCAAAAAUGGAAUAUGUAUUUAAAAUGGAUGCCUGAGUUAUUACAUAUAUCAUGACCCAAUAAACAUCUCAAUGAUAUAGGUAGUGUGUUCAGGCCUUAGCAUAAGUAGAGCUUUGGCUGCAUACCAAAUAUAACUCCAACAGUAAGAAAUAAAUUGGAAAUACAAUGUUGUUCCCCAUCUAAAAACAUCACCAGCUGCCAGAGACUAUCCACCUACAUUCAAGCAAAUGAAACUUCCAUCAGUUAGGAUUGUAAAGAAUUUGAAUGAAGAAGCAAAUAAAAAGAUAUUUGCUUAAAUAAAUUUUUUUACAGGGCACAUUUCUGAAAACCAAGCCACUGAUUAAUUAGCAAUUUCGAGUACUUGUUGAGAGCUACUUAUUUCUUGAUGACAAUACUUCUUGUGGGGAGUCUCCCCCACCCUCUCAUCCUCCUCCUCCUCCAACUCCCACCACCGCUCCCUUCCACCACCGCUCUCUUCCCACCCCAUCUCGAAGAAAGCUUCCAAAAGAAAAAUAUUUUGUGACCAAAUUUUUUUAUCGAUAAAAAUCUGAAUUUUUUUAAUAUCAUCAAUUCAGAUCCAAUAUAUAUAGUGCGGUCAAAUAAAUAAAUCUAAACCACAAUUACAUAUGUAUACAGAUAAAUUGUAUAAAGAUAUUUUUGAGUUGGUGUGUAAAUUUAUUACAUCACAUUGUCGUUUAAUAUAUGAUAUGCUGGUUUAUAUUGCUUUUAAAGGUUUGUCUUGAAAAGAAACAAAAAGAAAAUCCUAAACUACCAUCAAAACAGCCAAUAAUACUUGCUUUGCUACAUGAAACAACCCUCCUGUCUGCAAGCGCUGGGAGAGAAGAAAAACGUCUUGAGCCAGAAAGAUGGCGGUCCCUUUUGCAGGAGAAAGUUUUGCAUUGCUCUACGUCUUGCCUCAUGAGCUGUGCCUGCAGAACUUUAUAGGACAAACAGUUUGGAUAUGCUAUAUGUUGAUGGCUCACUAUCAUAUUAUGGCUCCUGAGAGAGAACAGAAAUCACAUAAAAUUAUUCACAAUUAAAUUGGUGCUGUAAUAUUCUUAGAUGUACUCACUUCUUGCACUACAGUAAACAGAAAUUGACAGUAUUUUUGUUGGAAUAUUUCAAAAUUCCGAGUCUGCCCUUCUUUGUCUUUUGUCUUUUUGUCUAGUGUACUUUCUUUAGUCCCACAUUGGAAAGGAACAAAACUCAAAAGAUCUUUAUAUAGUAUUCAAGCAAACAUGCAUCGCAUCGCUCGGUCUACGAUGGAGUCCGAGUUUAUUGCCUUAGAAAAGGCAGGUUCUGAAGCUGAAUGGCUUAGAAAUCUUGUGGGAGAUAUUCCAUUAUGGAAUAAAACAACACCUUCUGUGUCUAUUCUUUGUGAUAACCAAGCUGCUAUAUAUCGAGCUAAGAAUAAAGUUUAUAAUGG